rnacentral:lncRNA from 1 species
ACAUGAUGAAUUACAUUCAUACCUUCACGAAGGAUAACCUAAGAUUUCAUAAGUAUUAUGCUCAAUAAAGUUUUAGCAUGAAAUCAGCAUCAACCAUUUAUAUUAGAGAAGAAAUUUAAAUUUUGAAAAACUUAAAGGAGAAGGUUAUACAUAUUCAUUCAUUGUUUUCUUAUUAUCAUGCAAGCACUAGAAAAAUUUUAUGCUAAGAUCGUUGAGAUAAAAAUUCAACAUAUGAAGCAUUUAAGAACUUUGAUGCAGAGAGUAUUGUAAUUUUAUAAAAGGAUAAUUUUGAUACACGAUGUAGAAUGUUAAACCUUAUACUAGAUUUAAUGAAUAAAUUGAGACUUAUCUUUAAUUAGUUGUCAACGCACCCAUUUGUAUGAAAGUUUCAUUUGUUCCAUGGGUAGCUUGGCACACUUACAUCUACACCCUCAUAUUUUCAUUUUGGGUACCCAAGCUUGCUUGGGUCCUUGAGGGUUAGUGCAUAUGGUUCCUUUUGGAACCCAAAUCUGUUUAAACGUAAUAACUUUACCAUUUGAUUUAUUCGUAUUAGAACCAUAGGUAAAGUUUUUAUGCCCAAUCUUUUUAUGUUUGAAAUAAGUUAUCUUAUUUAAU